UACGGAGGGUGCGAGCGUUGUCCGGAGUCACUGGGCGUAAAGGGCGCGUAGGUGGCGUCGCAAGUCAACGGUGAAAGCUCGACGCUCAACGUCGAGUCGGCCGUCGAGACUGCGAGGCUUGAGCACUGUAGAGGCAGAUGGAAUUCCGGGUGUAGCGGUGGAAUGCGUAGAGAUCCGGAAGAACACCGGUGGCGAAGGCGGUCUGCUGGGCAGUUGCUGACACUGAGGCGCGACAGCGUGGGGAGCAAACAGG
rnacentral:rRNA from 1 species